rnacentral:rRNA from 1 species
GACGAACGCUGGCGGCGCGCCUAACACAUGCAAGUCGAACGAGCGAGAGAGAGCUUGCUUUCUUGAGCGAGUGGCGAACGGGUGAGUAACGCGUGAGGAACCUGCCUCAAAGAGGGGGACAACAGUUGGAAACGACUGCUAAUACCGCAUAAGCCCACGGUGCCGCAUGGCACAGAGGGAAAAGGAGCAAUCCGCUUUGAGAUGGCCUCGCGUCCGAUUAGCUAGUUGGUGAGGUAACGGCCCACCAAGGCGACGAUCGGUAGCCGGACUGAGAGGUUGAACGGUCACAUUGGGACUGAGACACGGCCCAGACUCCUACGGGAAGCAGCAGUGGGGAAUAUUGCACAAUGGGGGAAACCCUGAUGCAGCGACGCCGCGUGGAGGAAGAAGGUCUUCGGAUUGUAAACUCCUGUUGUUGGGGAAGAUAAUGACGGUACCCAACAAGGAAGUGACGGCUAACUACGUG